rnacentral:rRNA from 1 species
GACGAACGCUGGCGGCGUGCUUAACACAUGCAAGUCGAACGGAAAGGCCCUGCUUUUGUGGGGUGCUCGAGUGGCGAACGGGUGAGUAACACGUGAGUAACCUGCCCCUGACUUUGGGAUAACUUCAGGAAACUGGGGCUAAUACCGGAUAGGAGCUCCUGCUGCAUGGUGGGGGUUGGAAAGUGUCGGCGGUUGGGGAUGGGCUCGCGGCUUAUCAGCUGGUUGGUGGGGUAGUGGCGGACCAAGGCUUCGACGGGUAGCCGGCCUGAGAGGGGGACCGGGGACAUUGGGACUGAGGUACGGACCAGACGGCAACGGGAGGCAGCAGUGGGAAAUAUGGCGCAAUGGGGGCAAGCCUGAUGCAGCAACGCCGGGAGCGGGAUGACGGCCUUCGGGUUGUAAACCGCUUUCGCCUGUGACGAAGCGUGAGUGACGGUAAUGGGUAAAGAAGCAACGGCUAACUACGUG